rnacentral:rRNA from 1 species
AGAGUUUGAUCCUGGCUCAGGAUGAACGUUGGCUGUGUGCCUAAGGUAUGCAAGUCGAACGAACCCUUUGAAACUUCGGUUGAUGUGGGUUAGUGGCAAACGGGUGAGUAACACGUGGAUAACCUGCCUUGAAGUCAUGAACAGCUCAUCGAAAGAUGGGAUAAUACAUGAUAGUCUUACAUCUUCUUUAGAUCUUGUAAGUAAAGUUACGGCGCUUCAAGAGGGGUCCGCGUCCUAUCAGCUAGUUGGUGAGGUAAUAGCUCACCAAGGCUAAGACGGGUAGCUGGCGUGAGAGCGCGGUCAGCCACCAUGGAACUGAGACACGGUCCAUACUCCUACGGGAGGCAGCAAUUAGGAAUCUUGCGCAAUGGGGGCAACCCUGACGCAGCGACACAGCGUGGAGGAAGAAGGUCUUCGGAUUGUAAACUCCUUUUAUAUGGGAAGAAUAGAUGACGGUACCAUAUGAAUAAGCACCUGCUAACUACGUGCCAGAAGCAUCGGUAAUGCGUAGGGUGCAAACGUUAUCCGGAUUUAUUGGGUGUAUAGAGAGCGUAGGCGUUUUUGUAAGUCUUUAGUUAAAGACCACGGCUCAACCGUGGAAGAGCUUCGGAUACUGCAAAAAUUGAGACAGGAAGAGGCGAACAGAAUUUCCAGUGGAGCGGUGAAAUGCGUUGAUACUGGGAGGAAUAUCAGUGGCGAAGGCGGUUCGCUGUCCUUGUCUGACGCUAAGGCUCGAAGCGUGGGUAGCAAAACGGAUUAGAUACCCGUGUAGUCCACGCUGUAAACUAUGGAUGCUAGGUGUUCGGUAUAUUCGAGUAUUGAGUGCCGCAGUUAACACGUUAAGCAUCCCACCUGGGAAGUACGGCCGCAAGGCUAAAACUCAAAUGAAUUGGCGGGGACCCGCACAAGCGGAGGAGCGCGUGGUUUAAUUCGACGGCAAUCGAAGAACCUUACCAGGGUUUGACAUGUAUCGCAUGCCCCCAGAAACGGGGGAGCCUUAGGGGUGAUACACAGGUGCUGCAUGGCCGCCGUCAGCUCGUGUCGUGAGAUGUAGGGUUAGGUCCCGAAACGAGCGCAACCCCUAUCCUAUGUUACAAGUGUCUUAGGAAACUGCCUCGGUAAACGAGGAGGAAGGUGGGGAUGACGUCUGGUCCGCAUAGCCCUUAUGUCCUGGGCUACACACGCGCUACAAUGGCCGAUACAGUAGGGUGCCAAAUCGUAAGAUGGAGCAAAUCCCAAAGUCGGUCUCAGUUCGAAUUGAGGUCUGAAACUCGACCUCAUGAAGUUGGAUUCGCUAGUAAUCGUAAAUCAGCCAUGCUACGGUGAAUACGUUCUCGG